UUCACCGGUCUUAAAAUACAAAUGCUUUAUUGAAUAAAAUUAAAAAACGACCAUGACUUGGUCGUUUUUAAUUUUAUUCAAUAAAGCAUUUGUAUUUUAAGACCGAUGAG